GUGUGUGUGUGUGUGUAUACUUAUGGUUGUUGUUAGUAAUUAAUUAUUUCCCCAUUAAUGCCUGAAGAUGCAAACAAGUCUUUCCAUGAAGAGGGAUUUUCUUUUUUGUUAUUUUCCUUUUUCUGUUAUUUUUUUUCUCUUCUCCCCAUUUGAAAAUCCAAGUCUAACCCUCUUCGAAUUGGAUGGCCAUGUUCUCCUUUGGACGUUAUAGUGUAGUGUAAUAUUAAGUGUAGAACCAACUACGUCUGCUUAGUUUAUUUAUUUAAUCAUUAUUCCUUUCCUGUUUUUUUUUGUUUAUUUCUCUCAUUUUUUAUUGUUAGUUUGUCUGAGUAUGGCAUAUUACAAAUUUUUUUUUUAAAUGACCAACUUUUCACAUAUUUUCAAACUGGCAUACGGCUUCUGGCUUUUACUUUAUCACUCAUACUAAAACUUUUGUCACUGCUACCACUCUUCCACUGUGGCUUGCAUUUUUUUCCUCCCCUGUUUAGGAUCUUCAGGUGGUGUGUGUGUGAUGAUGAUGAUGAUGAUGGUGGUGGUGGUGGUGGUGGUGGUGGUAGGAUUAUCCUCAUGAUUAACAUAACAGAUUUAAAUUGAUUUCCAACAUUUUUCAGAAAUCAGAUUUUUAUGUAGAGGUGGACCAAAUGUUAAAAGAAUAAUGUGAUUGACUGUUUCUCAAUGAUUGAACUUUGUUUAUUUGUUCUUUGCUUUACACACACACACAGACACACAAAGAUUUAUAAGUACAUAUAUGUAUUAUGCAUAUAUAUGUAUACAUACAUACAUACACGCAUAUAUAUAUAUAUAUAUAUAUAUAUAUAGAGAGAGAGAGAGAGUAUAAAAUGGAUAAGUUAUCUUGGUAGAUACUGUAUUAUCUCUCAAAUUGGUUAACAAUUCUAUAUAUAUGCACAUAUAUAUGUAUGUGUGUGUGUAUAGGUAUAUAUGUAUAUAUAUAUAUAUAUAUAUAUAUAUAUAUAUAUCUGUGUAUAGGUAUAUGUGUGUGUGUGUGUGUGUGUAUAUGUAUAUAUGUAUGUAUAUAUAUAUUUAUAUGUGUGUAUAGGUAUAUAUGUAUGUAUCUAUCUAUAUCUAUAUAUAUAUAUAUAUAUAUAUAUAUAUACAUGUUUGUUUGUGUAUAGGUAUAUAUAUAUGUUCAUGUAUACAUGUGUUUAUACACACAGACACACACACACAUACAUUUUUUUUGCCCUCCUUCAUCUUUGAAUAUUCUGAGAUCUCUCUCCCUCCGUAAGACCUCAUUGCAUUCAUAUAUGCUGACCCCCUUUUGCUGUUACCAAUAACAGCAGAAUGGUCAUCAUCAUCAUCAUCAUCAUCAUCAUCAUUGCCAACAGCAGCAGCGCCACCUCUACCAUUGCAAUGAAUCUUACCUUGGGUUUGUUACAGUCCUUUCCCCACCCCACCCCACCCCAUCUCCCUCACCUUCCUGCCACCUCUUCUCCUCCUCUUCUUUCUCACCCCCCCUCCAUCUAUGUUGUUUUGCUGCUGUGCAAGUAUUUUGGAAUUACUUUUUUUCUAACUCUUUUUUUUUUUCUUGCUCUCUAUUCAUUGUUCUCUCUUUCACACAUACACACACACACACACACACACACACACACACACACACACUCACACACUUCCAAAAAUCUCCAUCUCUCAUCCUCAUAUUCUGUUCUUUCGAAGAUUUUUUUUUUUUCAAAAGACAAUAUUUUCAAAGCAAAGAAAACAACAGCAAAAGGUAAAAAUAAAAACCCCCCAAAAAAACAAAGAACAAAAACAAAACACCCGAAAGUGACAAAACAAAGAUUUAUUGUUUGUCUUUUCUCUUAGACGAUUUGUUCUGUUUACGCUGUUGUGUUCCAUGCGUUUGUCCUCUAAUUUAUCUCUUUGCUGAUUUCCCAAAGUAUUAGACUCAUCUUGUUGUCUCUGGUUCGAGGUUCCUACCAAAGGAAUUUCAAACUGACACACACCAUGUUCAUACAUACAUAUAUAUAUAUAUAUAUAUAUAUAUAUAUAUAUAUAUAUAUAUAUAUAUAUAUAUAUAUAUAUGUGUGUGUGUGUAAUGUGACAAAAACAAAAUAAUAAUGAAAAAACAAAAAAGAAAACAAUGUAAAAUGAUUUAAAUUUUUUUUCCUUUUCCUUUUUUUUUUUUUGCUUUAAAUUCUUAUAUUUUAUGUUUGCUUGUGAAGUCUACAAAAGACAGUUGCAAGAGAGGAAGAUAUUGUGCUGUGUGUGUGUGUGUGUGUGUGUUUGUGUGUAAGAUCAAGGGACAAAGUGUGUGCAUGCCUGACUUUGUAAACUUUGAAUGCUUUGUCACUAGAAAGAAAGUUGUUAGAAGAGAGGACAUAUGUAUAUAUAUAUAUAUAUAUAUGCAUGUAUGGUGGGUGUCUUCUACUCGUGUGUAUAUAUAUAUAUAUGUAUGUAUGUGUGGGUGAGUCUGUGUGAGUUGCUACUCAAGAGUUUCACAUUCCUGGCUCUCAUGUGACUCAUGAUAAAUAAAAAUUAUUCCACAGUAUUUCACUGUAUUGAGUACAUUCAUUCGCUUAACUUGCAUUCACACCAGUGUAAUACUUGCAUACAUAUAUGUAUGUAUGUAUAUGUAUAUAUAUAUAUAUAUAUAUAUAUAUAUAUAUAUGCAUGGGCAUGCAUGUGUUUAUAAUUUGUGUAGGAGAGAAAGUGAGACUGAGAAAUUAAUAUUGUAGACUAAGAUCUCAAAAGGAAUAUAAGGACAGCACAGUAUAUUAAGACAAAGAAAUAUCAAAAUUAGUCCAAUCAAUGAUGGGGAAAUUUAUCAAUUAAAAAAAGAAAAAUUAAAAUGAUAUAAACCAUGAAUCAACUGUAAACCUCCAUUGAUAUAUAUAUAUAUAUAUAUAUAUACCACAUUGGUGGAAAAUUGGAGACGAACACUAUUUCUCUGUGUGAUUGACUUGGAAAAUUGUUAGGAUAAUUUUCUUAAUAUGAAACCAUUGGUAACCUUAACACACAAAUAAAGAAAUUUUAUCCACCAAUGCGGUGUUGAUCACUCAUUAUCGUCGUUUGCAAUUUACAUCUUUAUAUACACAUACAUAUAUAUAUAUAUGUAUAUAUUAUAUCGUUGCGGCAUAAUGAUACUAAUAACCUGGUCUUCAAACUCGAUAUGUUUCUUGCUUCAGAAUGAAGCCUCAGUUGAGUUCAGAACGGUCAUAAGAAAUGAAAAUGAUUGAAAUAAGAAAUUAUAUCAUGUGUUUCAUUACUUAACAGCUGUUUCUGUUAUAAGAUACGAUGCGCUCAUAGUUGAAUGCUUGUGUUUUAAGCUCCUGUGAAGAUAUAGGGUGACACACAAGCAUUCAACUAGGAGUGCACUGCAUCUAAUAGCAGAAAGAACUGUAAGUUAAUGAUGUUCAUGAUAAUUUCUUACUCCGUUGUCAUUUGUUUAAUUUCUUACAUGUUAAUAGUUUGUCAAGGAGCUGAAGCAUUCAGAAGUUGCUGUUUGUCAUUCAAUCUAAGUAAUAAUUAAAACAGUUAAUUUGUUACAUAAUUGGGAAAAACAUUUAAAGAUGAGUAAUUAAUAGAUGCUACAGUGACAUGAUAAGAGAAUCAUUCCAUGUUUUAGGUUUGUCACUGUGGCCGAUGUGUAUAUAUUAAAUAACUGCUUUGUUUUAUAUGCUCUGUGUGUAUGAAUAUAUAUACAUACAUGUAUAUGUGUGUGUGUGUGUAUGUAAUGUGAAUUAUACACAAUAUAUAUGCUAUGUUUGCAUACACACACAUGCAUUUCUGAAUAUGCAUGCUUGUGUGUGUAUGUAUAUAGUUUGCGUAUAUGUAUUUGGAUAUGUUUCCGUGUGUGUGUAUAUAUGUAUAUAUAUAUAUAUAUAUAUAUAUAUAUAUAUAUACACACACAUGUACUCUACAUAUACACUCAUACAUCUCGUGUAUAUGCAUUUUGUACGAGUUUGAAGGUAUGUUAUAUAUACUCAUGUAUGUAUAUAAUACACACGUGCACGUGAAUGCAUAUAUAAAACAAAUAUAAAACUGCAACUGAAUGCGAGCUCCUUUAUUAUUAUUAUUAUUAUUAUUAUUAUUAUUAUUAUUAUAAUGUUUUUUUUUUUUAUUUUCUGUUUACUUGACUUAAAGGAGGUGGAGGAGGAGGAGGGGCAGAGCCCAUGUAUCCUCCUCGUGUAGCAUGUGUGGAUAUGUAUGGGAGAUGUGUGUGAGUGCGUAUGUAACAUUUAUUUUAUUUAUGAUGUUAAAACUUAACUGUUUAACCAAUUUCUUUGUUCUGAAUUAUAAUAAUAAUAAUAAAAAAAAAAAGAAAAAAAAAUUUGCAAUCAACUCUU
rnacentral:lncRNA from 1 species